GUUGGUCACAGUAUUCUGCCACUGCUGUCAACUCCGCACCUGUUUCUGCAAGUCAAUCCAGGUCGUCCUCAUGCUGCAGCGACACAGUGCCUUUGCCUGGAGAGCACCAACAGUGUCGCCCCUUCAGUACACGUGAUUCACUACGCGAAGAUAGGCAAUGUAGCCCCCUGGCUCCAUCA